CAGCCGUAAACAAUGUGCGUUAGGUGUGUCGGUAACCACGCGUUACUGAUGCGCCGAAGAGAAAUCGUGAAACGCACCACCUGGGAAGUACGGUCGCAAGGCUGAAACUUAAAGGAAUUGGCGGGGGAGCACCACAACAGGUGGAGCCUGCGGUUUAAUUGGAUUCAACGCCGGACAUCUCACCGGAUAAGACAGCUGAAUGAUUGUCAAUCUGAAGGUUUUACAUGACUAGCUGAGAGGAGGUGCAUGGCGUAGACGUCU
rnacentral:rRNA from 1 species